rnacentral:rRNA from 1 species
UUAGUGGCGGACGGGUGAGUAACGCGUGGAAAACCUGCCGUAUACCGGGGGAUAACACUUAGAAAUAGGUGCUAAUACCGCAUAAGCGCACAGCUUCGCAUGAAGCGGUGUGAAAAACUCUGGUGGUAUACGAUGGUUCCGCGUCUGAUUAGCUAGUUGGUGGGGUAAUGGCCUACCAAGGCAACGAUCAGUAGCCGGCCUGAGAGGGUGAACGGCCACAUUGGGACUGAGACACGGCCCAAACUCCUACGGAAGGCAGCAG